UACGUAGGGUGCAAGCGUUAUCCGGAAUUAUUGGGCGUAAAGAGCUCGUAGGUGGCCCGGUCAGUUCGUGGUGAAAGCGCGGGGCUCAACCCUGCGUCGGCCAUGAAUACUGCCGCGGCUGGAGCACUGUAGAGGCAGGCGGAAUUCCGGGUGUAGCGGUGGAAUGCGUAGAGAUCCGGAAGAACACCGGUGGCGAAGGCGGCCUGCUGGGCAGUUGCUGACACUGAGGCGCGACAGCGUGGGGAGCAAACAGG
rnacentral:rRNA from 1 species